rnacentral:lncRNA from 1 species
GUAAACUUUGAUCCACAAGUUGAAAGAUGAGCAGUGUUAUCACUCUAGCUUUCUGCUAGAUGGUAGCACUAGUGAGAAAAAAAAAAUCUUGGGUUUAAUAGUGCCCUCAACACUGCUAGGCCGAGGCAAGAGGAUCGCCUGAGCCCAGGAAUUUGAGACCAGCCUGGGCAACAUGGCGAAAACUCAGCUCUACAAAAAAUAUAAAAUUAGCCGGGCAUGGUGGCCUGCACCUGUAGUAGCUAUUCGGGGGGCUAAGUGGGAAGAUCGCUUGAGCCCAGGAGGUUGAGGUUG